CACACUGACUGGGGGAGUUCAAAAGCAGAGGUGCAUUCAGCAGGGCUGGGUAUGACUAAGGAGACUAUCAGGGCAGGAGCAGAGGCCACAGCAUCAACAGCGGUACAUCUGGGCCCUUGGCAUUCCUGGCACGCCCCUGCCCAGAGGCAGGAGUCCCUGACCAGCCAGCUUCCUCCAUAGCAUGACCUGUGCCAAAUGUAACCAUGGAUUCUGCUGGCGCUGCCUCAAGUCCUGGAAGCCAAAUCACAAAGACUAUUACAACUGCUCUGCCAUGGUAAGGCGCUGGGCACUAGGGGAGGGCAGAGGCCCAGAGCUGUUGGGGAGGGGUGCUGCUACCAGGUCCUGGGCAGACAGGGCUCCGUGUGCAGUGCAGCAUUCUAGCUGUUGGGAUAGAGGCUCACUGUGGGGAAGACAGAGCCACCUGGGCCUGCAGAUGCUGGAAAUGCAGAUGUUCACAGGGACCUUCAGCUCCAGAACAGGACUUCUCAUACCGAGGUGGCUACAGAAAGGCUGGGGAGGGCUGGGCACUCUCAGAAGGCAGCAGGGCAGAGCAGGAAAGAGCAGGGACCCUGCAUUUAGAGCCUGGCUCUGCUGCUUAGCAUGUGGCUUUGAGCAAGUUCAUUUACUUCUCCAAGCCUCAACAGCCUCUGCAAAAGGGGUGAAUAAUAUGACCUACUCCACACAGUCAUGAGGACUGAAUGAAGAUAAUCGGGGGAGGUGUAGAAAGGCCUCCAUGAAUGUUGGCUUUUCCACUUACUAACUCCCUCCUGUCCAAACAAAACACCCAAUAGCCCUCUCAACGUAUCCUUGCUAGGUAAGCAAGGCAGCUCGCCAGGAGAAGCGGUUUCAGGACUAUAAUGAGAGGUGCACUUUCCAUCACCAGGCGCGGGUGAGUCGGGAGGAAACAGCGGGUAGAUGCCUGCAGAAGCAGGUUGGGGUGGUGGGGUGGAGGGGGGUGGGCUGAAGGUCUGACCGGGCAAGUGGUGCUGCGCCACCUGUGCUGGUACUGAUACACCUUUCUCCACACAGGAGUUUGCUGUGAACUUGCGGAACCGGGUGUCUGCCAUCCAUGAAGUGCCCCCGCCCAGAUCCUUCACCUUCCUCAAUGAUGCCUGCCAGGGACUGGAGCAGGCUCGGAAGGUGGUAGCGGGUGGGGGAAGAGAGCAGGGGAGGGGUGUGCCAAAUGGGUCUGGGGGGCUUGGCUGCUUUCAUCGGACUUGCCUGGAUGAAGGGAAUGAGGAGAGGGCAGGCGGGAGAGCUGAUGGGAGCCCCUGCAGGUGCUGGCCUACGCCUGCGUGUACAGCUUCUACAGCCAGGACACAGAGUACAUGGAUGUGGUGGAGCAGCAGACAGAGAACCUGGAGCUGCACACCAAUGCCCUGCAGAUCCUCCUGGGUGAGCCACCCCUGCCAGCCAGGCCCUCCUCCUGCCUCCUCUCCUCUGCUGCACAGCCUGGUCCCUCCCAGACAGGUCAAGCGGCACCCUUACCUUCCCUCUCUCCUCUUCCUCUUCAUUCUUCAUGGCCUUCUCACUGCCUGGCUGUUAAAGCUCAGGUCGAAAGCCUACAUUGUAAGGUGCCCAAGGGCGCAGAUGUUCGUGGAUGUUUCUUGGUUUCUGGUCUUUACCCUGCUCCCCUAGGGAGCUUCAUGAGAAUGUCUAGAGCUGCACCUGGCGCUUGGUAGACGUUCCAUAGGUGUUUGUUGGAGGAAGGAAUGGAUGAGAAUGAGAAGGGAGGGAGCCUCUGUGCUUGCCCCCUCUGCAGAGGAGACCCUGCUGCGGUGCAGAGACCUGGCCUCCUCCCUGCGCCUCCUGCGGGCCGACUGCCUCAGCACGGGCAUGGAGCUGCUCCGGCGGAUCCAGGAGAGGCUGCUUGCCAUCCUGCAGCAUUCUGCCCAGGUACUGCCCGGCCCAGACCCCUUCUGCUCCUGCAUUCUGCGGGAGUUGAGGUCCUCCUGUCCCAGCACAGCCCCUGCCCUGGGGCGAGUCCAGAAGGAAAGGCAGCAAAGCGGGUGAAUGGAUGUUAGACCUGGGCGCACAUCCCGGCUUUUGGGCCAACCUGCCUGAUGCUGCUGGACCCUAUCACUUCACCUCCUGGGGAUUCCUACAAAAUAAAGGGGUUGGCUAGCCCACAUCAAGGGUAUUUGGUCAGGUGCCUAUCAGAAUCACUUGGGGAACUUUUCCAGACUGUACUUCCCAGAUAGGGAUUUGAAAUCCUAGGAGUGGGCAUCAGGGGAUUGGGGUCACUGGAGCAAGCGCUCUCCCAGGCUCUCUCCAGCUCUGAUGCACUGAUGCUGAGUCUAAACUGUGAGUCCUGUCCUCAGGUUGCUUACUGACUGGUAAGUCACAUGGGCAGAAAAGACAUAGAUUCUGUAAGCUCUUUAAGCACAGGGUGGUGUGCCUCACCUGGUACCCCGUAUCCCUGGAGACCAUCUGUGGGUGAACUCACAAAGGCAGUGUUUCAUGAAGUGCUGUGCUGGGAGGGGAGCAGUCCUAGCAGGAGCUUGGCCCUCCCAGAGCAUCAGUGGAAGGAAUGCUGGGUCCAAAGGCCCCAUGCCCUCUACCUCCUUCUCAAAUCCUUCUGUCUGCUCACCAGGAUUUCCGGGUUGGUCUUCAGAGUCCAUCAGUAGAGGCCUGGGAGGCAAAAGGACCCAACAUGCCUGGCAGUCAGCCCCAGGCCUCCUCAGGGCCAGAGGCGGAAGAGGAGGAGGAAGACGAUGAGGAUGAUGUGCCCGAGUGGCAGCAGGAUGAGUUUGAUGAGGAGCUGGACAAUGACAGCUUCUCCUACGAUGAGUCUGAGAACCUGGACCAAGAGACUUUCUUCUUUGGUGAUGAGGAGGAGGAUGAAGAUGAGGCCUAUGACUGAGGGGGCAGAUGCAGGAAACACCUAGAGCAGCCCCAGAGUCACGGGGCUGAGGGGGCGGGAGCUGCCCCUGUCAUGGGGAGGGGGAUUCCCAGCGUCUGUAGUGCCUCCUGUUUGCUGAAUAAAGGUCUCUUUCUCACAC
rnacentral:sRNA from 1 species